rnacentral:rRNA from 1 species
AAUAAUUUUUCGUGGCGUACGGGUGAGUAAUACACAGGAAUCUGCCUUUUAGUUCAGGAUAAAAUUCUGAAUAACAAAAGAAAACUUUUCGCUAAAAGAUGAGCCUGUGUAGGAUUAGGUAGUUGGUAUUUGGGUAAAGGCCUACCAAGCCUAUGAUCCUUAGCUGUUCUGAGAGGUUGUACAGCCACACUGGGACUGAGACAAGGCCCAGGCUUCAUUUGGAGCCAGCAGUGAGGAAUUUUGGACAAUGAGCGAAAGCUUGAUCCAGCAAUACUACAUGAGUGAUGAAGGCUUUCAAGUUGUAAAACUCUUUGGUUGAGGAGGAUAAUGACAGUACUCAACAAAAUAGCCCCGGCUAACUUCGUGCCAGCAGCCGCGGUAAUACGAAGGGGGCGAGCGUUAUCCGGAAUGACUGGGCGUAAAGGGUCCGUAGGCAGCAUUUUUUGUUAGAGGUUAAAUAAAAAAGCUUAACUUUUUUCCGCUUCUAAAACGUAAAUGCUUUGAGUUUGAUAGGAGAUAGCAGAAUUUCACAUGGAGGGGUGAUAUCCGUAGAUAUGUGAAGGAAUACCAGAGGCGAAGGCGGCUAUCUAGAUCAAUACUGACGUUGAGGGACGAAAGCAUGGGGAGCAAACAGGAUUAGAUACCCUGGUAGUCCAUGCCCUAAAAGAUGAGUGCUCGUGCUUAGAUAUUUUUAGGCACUUAGUUAACACGUUAAGCACUCCGCCUGCGGAGUACGACCGCAAGGUUGGAACUCAAAGGAAUUGACGGGGGCCUAUACAAGUGGUGGAGCAUGUGGUUUAAUGCGACAAUACGCGCGAAACCUUACCAGUUCUUGACAUAAAAAAGAAAAAGUUUGAAAGGACAAUUUUGAAGAUUUUUACAGGUGCUGCAUGGCUGUCGUCAGCUCGUGUCGUGAGAUGUUAGUUAACUCCCUUUUAACGGGCGAAACCCCUUUUCUUAGUUGCCACU